rnacentral:rRNA from 1 species
AUUGAACGCUGGCGGCGUGCUUAACACAUGCAAGUCGAGCGGAAACAGGUGUAGCAAUACAUGCUGACGAGCGGCGAACGGGUGAGUAAUGCUUCGGAAUCUUCCUCGUAGUGGGGAAUAACCUGGGGAAACUCAGGCUAAUACCGCAUACGAACUACGGUUGAAAGCAGGGGAUCGCAAGACCUUGCGCUAUGAGAUGAGCCGAAGUCGGAUUAGCUAGUUGGUAGGUAACGGCCUACCAAGGCGACGAUCCGUAGCUGGUCUGAGAGGACGACCAGCCACACUGGGACUGAGACACGGCCCAGACUCCUACGGGAGGCAGCAGUGGGGAAUAUUGGACAAUGGGGGCAACCCUGAUCCAGCGACGCCGCGUGUGUGAAGAAGGCCUGCGGGUUGUAAAGCACUUUUAGUGGGGAUGAAAAGCCAAGGGCUAAUACCCUUUGGUCUUGACCUAACCCAAAGAAAAAGCACCGGCUAACUCUGUGUCAGCAGCCGCCGUAA